rnacentral:rRNA from 1 species
CCUACGGGAGGCUGCAGUGGGGAAUAUUGCACAAUGGGCGAAACCCUGAUGCAGCCACGCCGCGUGAGUGAAGAAGUCUCUCGGUACGUAAAGCUCUAUCAGCAGGGAGGAAAAUGACGGUACCUGAAUAAGUAGCACCGGCUAACUCCGUGCCAGCAGCCGCGGUAAUACGGAGGGGGCACGCGUUAUCCGGAUUUACUGGGGGUAAAGGGAGCGGAGACGGGAGCACGAGUCGGGAGUGAAAUCCCCGGGCUUAACCCCGGAACUGCUUUUGAAACUGGGCGGCUGGAGUGCAGGAGAGGGAAGUGGAAUUCCUGGUGUAGCGGUGAAAUGCGUAGAUAUGAGGAGGAACACCAGUGGCGAAGGCGGCUUACUGGACUGUAACUGACGUUGAGGCGCGAAAGCGUGGGGAGCAAACAGGAUUAGAUACCCGUGUAGUC